rnacentral:tRNA from 1 species
GUCCCCAUAGUCUAGCGGUCAGGACACCACUCUUUCAAGGUGGUGGCACGGGUUCGACUCCCGUUGGGGACG